UACCUGGUGGUGAAAUGUCAUCACGCCUGCCGUCUGUUCAUAUAUCCUGUGAGAGAUGUAAGGCAGGAGUCCCCGGUUCGAUUCUGGGCCAGGUCC